rnacentral:tRNA from 204 species
CGGGGUGUAGCGCAGCUUGGCAGCGCGCUUCGUUCGGGACGAAGAGGUCGUGGGUUCAAAUCCCGCCACCCCGAC